rnacentral:tRNA from 1 species
GGGGAUUUGGCUCAGUGGUAGAGCACUUGCCUAGCAAGCGCAAGGCCCUGGGUUCGGUCCCCAGCUCCCCCC